UCCCUGGUAGCUCAGAUGGUAAAGAAUCUGCCUGCAAUGCAGUAGACCUGGGUUCAAUUCCUGGGUUGGGAA
rnacentral:tRNA from 1 species